rnacentral:piRNA from 1 species
UACACUAACACUAACGACAACUGAUGAGA